rnacentral:rRNA from 1 species
UACGUAGGGUGCAAGCGUUGUUCGGAAUUACUGGGCGUAAAGGGCUCGUAGGCGGCCAACUAAGUCGGAUGUGAAAUCCCCAGGCUCAACUUGGGAACUGCAUCCGAUACUGGAUGGCUUGAAUUCGGGAGAGGGAUGCAGAAUUCCAGGUGUAGCGGUGAAAUGCGUAGAUAUCUGGAGGAAUACCGGUGGCGAAGGCGGCAUCCUGGACCGACAUUGACGCUGAGGAGCGAAAGCUAGGGGAGCAAACGGGG